UUAGCCUGUGCAAGAUUAGGUUACACUUCAGUGUGUUAUGCACUGCAUCAGAGAAGUAUUGACACUGCUGAACACCACAACCACUCACCAAGAGGUGGAAGGGGGGUGGGAAAGAAGAAAACAAAAGAAACCACACCCCAAAACACAUUAACCAAGUAGAAAAUAGGGAGAGUUACUGCACCAUCAUUGUCCCUUCACCCAGAACACUGCUUGCACUACCUAGGAGUGAGUGCUUCGUGUACCUUCUGAGAUAAGUUUUCUUUAGCUAAAGCUGUACUAAAGAAAAGUUCAAUCCCUUCUGAAGUGUCCUCAGUGGACAUCCCUUUGGUAAAGGGCCUGGCACCCUGAAUUAUACACGGAAUUGUGCUUAAAUACCACAGGUAAGUCAGCUUGUUAGGAUUAUUGUUGUAGUCACUCCAAAGUGUUUGCCUGCAGUCCUUAACAAGAAAGAUUUCAUUUUCUCAAUUCUGUAAGAACCAGACAGCAACUGUUCAUCGUUAGAGAAACCUUUUGAGACAGAGGUAUAAGAUCUCGGUUAGUUUUGCAGAGCAUUUUGUUAUUUCGCAGUUCAGAAUGCCAAGCCUGUUAUUCCUCUCCAUCAAAGCAGAGUAACACCAUGUUCAGCUUCUGAAUACUCACUGUAGCUGGUUCAAUAGAUGAAGGUGAAUCAGUAGUUACACAGGGGGCUUCAGACUCUUUGGGAGAGGGUUGCUUUUUUUUUUUGGACAGCAAAUAAGGAUAGUGACAGGAUAUAGACAAGACAGAACACGAUACAGUUAAAGCAGCUGCAGGAAGUACAGUGAAUCAUGUAUUAGAAACGCUGCUUGAAGGUUUGGGUUUUUUCAGCUUACCACUCCAUCCAUUGCUGUGGAAGGGGAGGAGGUUCUCGGCCCACUACUGAUCAGGGACGCUACAGCAGGCCCGAGAUCUGUAAAGAGAGCCACAAAUGCAUGUCUUACCGUGCUUGGGGAUAUACUGACUCAAAGACCAAAGUUUUGGGAGAAACAGCAGCUUUUACCUCGUCGCGGUGGGACUUGGCGAUCAGGUCUGCCUGGAGUUGGCUUUACAAUUAACGGUCUUUGAAGCAUGACGAUUUUUUGGUUUACUUCUAUUAAUCUAAUUUUAAAAAAUAAAGUUUUUUUUAUUAUUCAA